rnacentral:rRNA from 1 species
UACAGAGGUCCCGAGCGUUGUUCGGAUUUAUUGAGCGUAAAGGGUGCGUAGGCGGCGGAGUAAGUUGGGUGUGAAAUCCCGGGGCUUAACCUCGGAAUUGCAUUCAAUACUGCUUCGCUAGAGUACUGGAGAGGAGGCUGGAAUUUACGGUGUAGCAGUGAAAUGCGUAGAUAUCGUAAGGAAGGCCGGUGGCGAAAGCGAGCCUCUGGACAGUUACUGACGCUGAUGCACGAAGGCCAGGGGAGCAAACGGG